GGGGCGACGCGAAGACGACGACGCGGCGAUCUCGCCGGCGAAGGCGACGCCUUCCCCUCCACCGCCGGCUCUCUCUUCCGCCGGCGACGUUAUCCCCGAUCACACCUGCCCCUGUGAGAGUCGGAGAAGACGAGCCCCCUCCGUCCUGGGAUAUAGUUCCUGAUCGGUAUUUAUUUUACUACGCUUUUCUCUUUUGUGAGAGUAUCAUCCAUACUGUUUUAUGUCUUUAUGCACAUGAUAAUUAUUCUGUGAUAAAUAUAACCGAAACAACUAUUUCUAGCUUUGCAAUGGAUAUGAGCAUUAGAGAUCGUAUUAGGAAGAGGCGGGAGGAGGAUGACGAUGAUCUCCAUGAUAUUAAUCAUCCCUGCUCUACAUCAUUUGGGUUAUCUUGGAAGGAGGGAUGCUGAGCCACAACAUAUACCAUGGCUAACCGGGGCAGAAAAAGUCAAGGAGCUGCUUGAAGGCCCUGUCAAGAAAUGUAGGAUAGCAUUCAGAAUGGAGCCUUACAUCUUCAAAGCCUUG